rnacentral:tRNA from 1 species
CGUCGACUAGCUCAGAUGGUCAGAGCGCCGCCCUGAUAAGGCGGAGGUCCGAGGUUCAAUUCCUCGGUCGGCGACCA